UCCUAUGCAUUAGCAAAGAAAGUGAUUUCUUGAGAUGGAAUCUACUCCUGGUGAAGAUGCUGUGCA
rnacentral:pre_miRNA from 1 species